rnacentral:tRNA from 2 species
GCCCGGGUGGUGGAAUGGUAGACACUGGGGACUUAAAAUCCCUUGCCAGUAAUGGCGUGCCGGUUCGAGUCCGGCCUCGGGUA